UAGCAGUAUCAGGGUCAC
rnacentral:misc_RNA from 1 species